rnacentral:rRNA from 1 species
AGUGAACGCUGGCGGUAGACCUAACACAUGCAAGUCGAACGGCAGCACAGUAAGAGCUUGCUCUUACGGGUGGCGAGUGGCGGACGGGUGAGGAAUACAUCGGAAUCUACUUUUUCGUGGGGGAUAACGUAGGGAAACUUACGCUAAUACAGCAUACGACCUACGGGUGAAAGCAGGGGAUCUUCGGACCUUGCGCGAUUGAAUGAGCCGAUGUCGGAUUAGCUAGUUGGCGGGGUAAAGGCCCACCAAGGCGACGAUCCGUAGCUGGUCUGAGAGGAUGAUCAGCCACACUGGAACUGAGACACGGUCCAGACUCCUACGGGAGGCAGCAGUGGGGAAUAUUGGACAAUGGGCGCAAGCCUGAUCCAGCCAUACCGCGUGGGUGAAGAAGGCCUUCGGGUUGUAAAGCCCUUUUGUUGGGAAAGAAAAGCAGCAGGUUAAUACCCCGCUGUUCUGACGGUACCCAAAGAAUAAGCACCGGCUAACUUCGUG